GCCGGGAUCGCAUAACCUGGUAGUGCGCACGCCUGGAAAGCGUGUGUCCGCAAGGGCUUGUGGGUUCAAAUCCCUCUCCCGGCG
rnacentral:tRNA from 1 species